rnacentral:tRNA from 1 species
GAGAGAGGCCCGACGGCAACGAACACUGCUAAUUUUCGCCCCCUUGGUUAAACCCCUAGGCUCACUCG